rnacentral:rRNA from 1 species
AUGAGGCCUUCUCCGACAGGGAGCUGUAUAGUGGUCGUCGGCGCCGACGACGCCGACAGCCGCAAGCGCCGGCGCGAGGAGGCCGAAGGUGAUGGUGGAGAAGAUAUCGACUCUUCUUAUACUGUGACGAGUACACCAGUUUUACGAGUUGAAACCAUACAUGUCUGCUCGGCGAUUCUUGCUGCAAAAAGUAACUUCUUUCGCAUGCUUUUCUCAAAUGGCAUGAAGGAGUCUGGCCAUAGACAGGCAACAGUUACAAUUGCUGACUCAGAGUACGAAGCCUUCCUGGAGCUUUUACACUUUAUUUAUAGUGGAAAGCUGACACCAACUGAACCCAUUCUUCUGGUUGAUAUCCUGCUGGCUGCUGAUAAAUUUGAGGCUGCUUCUUGCAUUAAGCUUUGCGGUCAACGGCUCAUAGACCUGCCUAUGACUCUAGAAUCUGCAGUAAUGUGCCUAGAUCUCCCAUGUUCCAUUUCAAUGGCGCCUGCCCUGGCAGAGGCGGCCAAGAAAUUCCUUGCUAAAAGAUACGAUAAAUUCCUGUCGACAGAGUUUCAGGAUGAACUGAUGACGGUAUCUCUCACUGGGAUUGUAGCCAUUUUAUCAAGGAAUCACCCCGGGGUUGCAUCUGAAGAGGCCGUCUAUGACUUUGUGCUCAGGUGGGCCCGCUUUCAGUAUCCAAAUUCAGAAGAAAGGCACAAGAUUUUGAGUUCAAGUUUACUUCCACUGGUGCCAGUGGUGCGCAGCAUGACCAAUGGCAUCCUGAUUGACCAGCCGUCCUGCAUAGUUGACUUUACUCUAAGUCGCAGGCAAUGCUCCGGCCUCUUCCCAUCGGGAUCGAUACGCUCCCCGCCGUUCUGUUGUGCGGGGCAUGGUUUCUUCCUCUCGGCGCACGGUCGAACGGGGCUGUCCAACUGUUUUAGCCUCUUGAUAGAGAAGCUAGAAGGCAAGGGGCCAGUAAGAGGGACAAUAGAUUAUGAGAUUGAAGCAAAGACAAGACCGUCGCUGGAGUUUCUCUUCUCGUGGAGGCGCACCACCACCACCGAUAGUAGACAGGCUUUGGGCUGCAGGAUUCCUUGGCCAUCCAUCAUUGCUGACAACAGCCGUUUCUUCGUCGACGACAAACUCCAUCUGCGAGUUCAUGUGAAGAUAACGCCGCAGCCGUAG